rnacentral:rRNA from 1 species
GACGAACGCUGGCGGCGUGCUUAACACAUGCAAGUCGAACCGAAAGGCCCUGCCUUUUUGGGGUGCUCGAGUGGCGAACGGGGGAGUAACACGUGAGUAACCUGCCCCUGACUUUGGGAUAACUUCAGGAAACUGGGGCUAAUACCGGAUAGGAGUUCUUGCUGCAUGGUGGGGGUUGGUAAGUUUCGGCGGUUGGGGAUGGACUCGCGGCUUAUCAGCUUGUUGGUGGGGUAGUGGCUUACCAAGGCUUUGACGGGUAGCCGGCCUGAGAGGGUGACCGGCCACAUUGGGACUGAGAUACGGCCCAGACUCCUACGGGAGGCAGCAGUGGGGAAUAUUGCACAAUGGGCGGAAGCCUGAUGCAGCAACGCCGCGUGCGGGAUGACGGCCUUCGGGUUGUAAACCGCUUUCGCCUGUGACGAAGCGUGAGUGACGGUAAUGGGUAAAGAAGCACCGGCUAACUACGUG